rnacentral:lncRNA from 10 species
GAGACGGAGAUGUAGACCCUGCAGGACCCGGCAGUCCUCGGCGUGGGGCUGGGACGGGGCGAACAGUGGCCCCAUAGCCCACGUCCACCGGAGCCACAGGAUGGGAGCUUAUUUGCAAACAAGAUGUCCUCACGAGGCACAGAGACACAGAGAGAAGACGGCCACAUGGAGUCAGAGGCAGAGGCUGGAGGGAUGUGGCCACGAGCCGAGGACCCCUGGAGUCCCCAGGAGCUGGUCGAGGU